rnacentral:lncRNA from 1 species
CAAAACACAUCUAGUUCCUCUAUUAGAAUAUGAAAUAAACACAAAUGUCUUAUUUUCCUGUAUUUUCUUUUACUUGACUACAGGCCAUGGUCAUGAGUUAAAAGACUGAAGGCAAAAUGAGACCAUUUUGUCCAAAGUGCAUAUAAAGAAAAAUCCCUCCCUAUGAUAUCACCUAGAAAAGGCCAUCCCUGCUUCUUUGAGUAUUCCAGUACCAUCAGAGGCAGCUGCAGCCCCAGUAGAGGCAGCAGCAGAUCAGACCAA